CGAUAGAGUAACUUCCCUUUUCCUUCCGAAAACAAUUUCCUGUUAUCAAUCCGGUGACAUCAAAAUAUUGUUUGAUUUUUUAAGUUUCUGAUUUAAAACAUUCUAAAAAUGUCUCAGACUUACCAAUUUAAUAUGGAAAUGACAUGUGAAGGAUGUGCUAAGGCAGCUAAAAGAGUUCUUGAAAAACAGGGUGAUAAAGUGACUGAAGUGGUUACUGAUGUUCCAACCAAAACAGUGACAGUGACAUCUACAUUGUCAGCUGAUGAAGUAUUGGAAGUGCUUAAGAAAACAAAUAUUGCUGUAUCACUCAAAGGUUAGAAUUUUAAAGGUUGUUAAAUGUUAUGGUGGUUAAAGGUGCUAUGGAGAGAACAAGAAAAUACCCGGUACUUUAUUUAUUCCAGACAUGAAUAAAUACAAUAUUUAAUUUCAUUAUAGGUUGUACAUUGUACAAUUUUUCAUAAAUAGAUAUUACUUAACAUGUGAUGUAUUUUAAAUUAGCCCUAAUGUAUAAAUUCACAUUCUUGUACUGUAAAUUUAGAUAAUAUUAUAUGCAUUUAAUUUAUUGUUGCAACUUUUUAAGAAUGAUCAAAAGUGCAAGAUUUAUGAAAAAAGUAAUUCAGAUAUAUGUAUUAGAAAGUUUGUUUUAAAUAUGAGCAUUUAUAUAUAAAUUAAGCAAAAAAAUAUUUUAUUUUAAAUGUUAAACUUUACUGAUAGUUUUAUUUUGUUAAGUUAAAUUUACCUUGAAAUGUCAGAAGUAUUUUGAAAUAACUAAUUUAUGCAUAUUAUACACUGAAAAAUGUAUUUUUUUGAUUUUUGUCUUUCCUCAAUUAUUUUUCUGUUAAAACGAAUAUAUUAUGUACUUUGAAGUUUUUAAUUUGAAAUUGUGUUUGAAUCAUCACAAAUUGUAUUUAUUCAAGUUAGUUGUAGAUAAUGAAAACCAUUUCAUGAGGUAAUUUGAUUGGUAUUUUGAUUAUAUAAUUGCUGGGCAAUGUAUCAAGUGUUUUCUAUUAUUGUAUUAUUGUGACUUUUUUAUGUACUAAUAUCCUAAUAAACAUUUAUCUGAAAAAAUAUUUCGUAAUCUAGAUUCAUUUAAAAUAUAAAUAUUUUAACACAAUAGUAGUAAAAGUGUAUUGCUUAUUUCCUUAAUUAAAAAACAUUAAUAGAAUUCUGUAAAACAAAAAACGUUCACAAUCGAGUUAUAAUGUUUAUGAUAAUGUAAACUGUUUCAAAUACCCCCUGACAAAAAGAGGGUGUAUUAAAAAUAUCAUCAUGAAAUGAACCUCAAUUAUUCCAAUGACAACUUUUAAACAUUUGUGACAAGGGAGUUACCAUUUGAUUUUAAUGGUUGUUAUCUCUGUCCAGACUUUUUAUUUUUCACUCUAUUUGAUCAUGCCUUUUUUUUAUAAGUUUAUCUGACUUUUUUUAAAUAACUUGUCAUCCUGUCUUUUAAAGGGUUUUUUCCUCAUGUUGCUCAUCCUGCUUAAACUUUUUUACUCAAAUCUCCUGUCCUGACCUUUUUCAAAUUUCAUCCCACCCAUAAAAAUGAAUGGUAGCUCCCUAAACAUGAAAUUAUGUUCUUUAAUCUGAUGUUACUUUGUGAGUGUAUCAUUAUGAGUCAUGGUCUGAAGAAACUUUAAAUUUAAUGGAUAUAUUGGUGGUUAUUUUGUUCAU